rnacentral:rRNA from 1 species
GAUGAACGCUAGCGGGAGGCCUAACACAUGCAAGCCGAGCGGUAGAGAUCUUUCGGGAUCUUGAGAGCGGCGUACGGGUGCGGAACACGUGUGCAACCUGCCUUUAUCAGGGGGAUAGCCUUUCGAAAGGAAGAUUAAUACCCCAUAAUAUAUUGAAUGGCAUCAUUUGAUAUUGAAAACUCCGGUGGAUAGAGAUGGGCACGCGCAAGAUUAGAUAGUUGGUAGGGUAACGGCCUACCAAGUCAGUGAUCUUUAGGGGGCCUGAGAGGGUGAUCCCCCACACUGGUACUGAGACACGGACCAGACUCCUACGGGAGGCAGCAGUGAGGAAUAUUGGACAAUGGGUGAGAGCCUGAUCCAGCCAUCCCGCGUGAAGGACGACGGCCCUAUGGGUUGUAAACUUCUUUUGUAUAGGGAUAAACCUUUCCACGUGUGGAAAGCUGAAGGUACUAUACGAAUAAGCACCGGCUAACUCCGUGCCAGCAGCCGCGGUAAUACGGAGGGUGCAAGCGUUAUCCGGAUUUAUUGGGUUUAAAGGGUCCGUAGGCGGAUCUGUAAGUCAGUGGUGAAAUCUCAUAGCUUAACUAUGAAACUGCCAUUGAUACUGCAGGUCUUGAGUAAAGUAGAAGUGGCUGGAAUAAGUAGUGUAGCGGUGAAAUGCAUAGAUAUUACUUAGACCACCAAUUGCGAAGGCAGGUCACUAUGUUUUAACUGACGCUGAUGGACGAAAGCGUGGGGAGCGAACAGGAUUAGAUACCCUGGUAGUCCACGCCGUAAACGAUGCUAACUCGUUUUUGGGUUUUCGGAUUCAGAGACUAAGCGAAAGUGAUAAGUUAGCCACCUGGGGAGUACGUUCGCAAGAAUGAAACUCAAAGGAAUUGACGGGGGCCCGCACAAGCGGUGGAUUAUGUGGUUUAAUUCGAUGAUACGCGAGGAACCUUACCAAGGCUUAAAUGGGAAUUGACAGGUUUAGAAAUAGACUUUUCUUCGGACAAUUUUCAAGGUGCUGCAUGGUUGUCGUCAGCUCGUGCCGUGAGGUGUUAGGUUAAGUCCUGCAACGAGCGCAACCCCUGUCACUAGUUGCCAUCAUUCAGUUGGGGACUCUAGUGAGACUGCCUACGCAAGUAGAGAGGAAGGUGGGGAUGACGUCAAAUCAUCACGGCCCUUACGCCUUGGGCCACACACGUAAUACAAUGGCCGGUACAGAGGGCAGCUACCUAGCGAUAGGAUGCGAAUCUCGAAAGCCGGUCUCAGUUCGGAUUGGAGUCUGCAACUCGACUCUAUGAAGCUGGAAUCGCUAGUAAUCGCAUAUCAGCCAUGAUGCGGUGAAUACGUUCCCGGGCCU